rnacentral:rRNA from 1 species
UACGUAGGGGGCUAGCGUUGCUCGGAAUCACUGGGCGUAAAGCGCACGUAGGCGGAUUGUUAAGUCAGGGGUGAAAUCCUGGAGCUCAACUCCAGAACUGCCUUUGAUACUGGCGAUCUCGAGUCCGGGAGAGGUGAGUGGAACUGCGAGUGUAGAGGUGAAAUUCGUAGAUAUUCGGAGGAACACCAGUGGCGAAGGCGGCUCACUGGUCCGGUACUGACGCUGAGGUGCGAAAGCGUGGGGAGCAAACAGG